CAGCAGCCGCGGGAAUACAGAGGGUGCGAGCGUUAAUCGGAUUUACUGGGCGUAAAGCGUGCGUAGGCGGCUUCUUAAGUCGGAUGUGAAAUCCCUGAGCUUAACUUAGGAAUUGCAUUCGAUACUGGGAAGCUAGAGUAUGGGAGAGGAUGGUAGAAUUCCAGGUGUAGCGGUGAAAUGCGUAGAGAUCUGGAGGAAUACCGAUGGCGAAGGCAGCCAUCUGGCCUAAUACUGACGCUGAGGUACGAAAGCAUGGGGAGCAAAAAGGAUUAGAUACCCGGGUAGUCCCUGUCUCUUAUAC
rnacentral:rRNA from 1 species